rnacentral:lncRNA from 1 species
UGAUCCAUUCACUUAGGACUUACAGUCUAAAGUAUUUUGAAAGAACAUGUUCUUAUGAUUGGGUUUGUGAGCAACCCAUAAAGGAUAUGGUGAUGCAUGUUUGAGUGGAUACUAUAAUUGACAUUCUUACUUACGUACUUAAAGUUAUUUGUUUCUGCUAUCCUGUUCACAAUUAUAUAUGUACAUAUUAUGGUUGAAUGUGAUGACAGGAUUGUCUUGACAAGACAAAUUAUGGGGGUCAUUUUGGACUGCAUUAGGAAAG